rnacentral:rRNA from 1 species
GUUAUAGGAUCAAGCGAAUAAGUGCAUAUGGUGGAUGCCUUGGCGAUCACAGGCGAUGAAGGACGUUGUAGCCUGCGAAAAGCUGCGGGGAGCUGGCAAA